rfam:Eimeria tenella Houghton genomic scaffold, Eth_scaff37
UAUUGAGCCGGAAAUGCCGUCUCCAAAUAAAUUCGCCCACAAGACCCGCUCAACGUUUCCUCUCAGGCGGUCAAGUGCUCGAUGGCAAUAACCUGGUUCUGCUUAUCUGCAAUGUAACAUCCCCCAGAAGCAGGUUAUGGAGGUGUCCUCUCUCCUGAACACCUCAGCGUUUCUUAAAGCUCGGCCCUCAGGUGUUCUGAUUGCUAGUUCAAAGGGCAUCUGCUGGGUGCUGUCUCUGCGAGCAUCUUUGGUGAGGGCUUUUCCGGUACUUUUACGGCUUUAAAUAUCAACAUGACCUGUGAGGCAGCUCUGGAUAUUCUAAGACAUCACACACCAAGCCUAGUUCAGCGACUACAUGAAUCAUCUCUACUACACCACACAAAAGUAGCACAAAGGUUUGAAUAUUACAGACACUUAGUUUAGGACAAUCGGAAGCUCUCAAAGACGCAUCUCUCUGCAACGCCUGGCCCAUCCAUCCGCACACAGUAGUCCUUGCCUGGGAUUAAAGAAUCUAACUAUAUGCCUGUUGAAGAAGGAGCUGACGAGUCUUAAUUAUUUUAAGCAUUUGGUUAAUUUUAUUUAAUUGAAGCCAGAGUUAACGCGAGUUAUUAUAAUAUAAUAACAAUUGCUUAUAAUUAAGAACCCGAACCCGGAUGAAUUAAUCUUGUCCAGAAUGAAAUAUAGAUAAGUCUAUAUAGAGGUUCGAACUGGUUGAUAUUGCAAAAUCAUCAGAAGAGAUGAGAUUAGCGGUGAAAUGCUUAUCGAAUUCGGAGCUAGCUGGUUCUCCUCGAAAUGCGUUGAGGCGCAGCUGUUACUUAAUAUAUAAUUAAGGUGGUAAAGCACUAUAUUUAAUAUUUAUUAUAUUUAUAUUAUAAAAAUUAUAUAUAAACUAAUAAUACCUAUUAUAUUAAAAAGUAAUAAGUGAGACUAUUGGGGAAAAUCUCAAUUGUCUAAAAGGAAACAACCUACAUCAUAAGUUAAGGUUUUAAAAAGUAUUAAAAAUAAAAAGAAAUUUAAUUUCAUUUAUAUUUAGGAGGUUAGCUUAGAAGCAGCUAUCCUUUAAAGAGUGCGUAAUAGCUCGCUAAAUUAGAAAUUAUGUACUGAAAAUGGUAAAAAAAUACUUUACCGAAACUAUGAGAUUUAUAUUUAAAUCGAUAGAGGAGCGUUCUAUAUUUAAGAAGUAAAAAUGUAAAUUUUUAUGGAAAAAAUAGAAGUGAAAAUGUCAGCUUAAGUAGCAUAAAUAUUAGUAAAAUCUAAUACUCCGAAAGCUUAAAAGUUUUCUACGAAAGGAUAUACCACGUAGAUAAAGUCGGGGCCUAAAAUUAGAUUAAAUAUGUAAUUGAUGGGUAAUAAGGUUAAACUUCCUUUACUGUAAAUAUAUAUAACAAAUAGUGACCUAUAAUUUUUAUUAUAUUUUUAUAAUAUAGUUUUUAAUAUAUAAAUAAAAAUAUAUAGCUGGAAAAAUGUAUAUGUUAAAAUAUAUUAUCACCCGUACUAAAACUGACACAAGUAAGCAAGUAUAAAUAUACUAAGGAGUACGAAAUAACUUUUUCUAAGGAACUCGGCAAAAUAAUCCUGUAACUUCGGGAAAAAGGAUGUCCAAAGGACUGCAAUAAAGAGAUCCAAGCGACUGUUUAUCAAAAACACAAGUCUCCGCUAAGUGUAAUUACAAUGUAAGGGGGCUGACACCUGCCCAGUGCUGGUAAGUUAAAAAAAAUAUUGAUAAUUAUAAUAUUUUUAUAAGCUCCAGUAAACGGCGGCUGUAACUAUAACGGUCCAAAGGUAGCGAAAUUCCUUGUCGGGUAAGUUCCGACCUGCACGAAAGGUGUAACGACUUGGAUGCUGUCUUGGAAAAAGAUUCGGCGAAAUAGAAAUGUCUGUGAAGAUACGGACUAUUUACACCUGGACAGAAAGACCCUAUGAAGCUUUACUAUAUUUUGAAAUUAAAAAUAAAAUAUAUUUGUGUAGAAUAAGUGGGAAAUAAUUAUUUUAUUUAUCUUGAAAUACCACUCUUAUUUAUUUUAUUUUUUUAUUAUAAUAUUGUUAACCAAUUAUAAAAAAAUUUUAAAAAGGUAGUUUGACUGGGGCGGUAGCCUCCUAAAAGGCAACGGAGGUGUACAAAGGUCUUUUUUUAAUUUAAAUAUUUACUUUAAAAUUAAAUCUAUAAAGGGAUAAAAAGGCUUGAUUGUAAGAGUUACUACUCGAGCAAGGACGAAAGUCGGUCUUAAUGAUCCGAUAGUUCUUUGUGGAAAGGCUGUCGCUUAACGAAUAAAAGUUACUCUAGGGAUAACAGGCUGAUCUCCCCCGAAAGUUCCUAUUGACGGGGAGGGUUGGCACCUCGAUGUCGGCUCGUCGCAUCCUGAGGCUGAAGUAGGUCUCAAGGGUUGGUCUGUUCGCCCAUUAAAGCGGCACGUGAGCUGGGUUCAGAACGUCGUGAGACAGUUCGGUCCAUAUCCGGUGUAUACAUAAGAACAUUGAAGAGUUUUUCUUUUAGUACGAGAGGACCAAAGAGAUUAAACCUAUGGUGUAUUAGUUAUUUUACUAAAAAUAAUCGCUAAGUAGCCAAGUUUAAAUAAAUAUUAAUCACUGACAACAUAUAAGUGAGAAAAAUACUUUAAGAUAAAUGUUCUUAUCUAACUAAAUAAAUAGAAUAAGAAAACAAAAAGAUAAUUUGAUAAAAAGAAAAAGUGUAUACAAUUAGUAAUAAUUUUAGCAUUUUUUGACUAAAAGUUCGAAAAAAAUAUA